AUAGCCUAAUUUUUUUUGGCGAAAGAGAGUUCAUAAAAGUUGAGUAUUAAAUCACCCAGGGUUUGGCCUAGCGGUGGGAGCCCUUGUUUUGUACCAAGAGUCGUUGUUUUGUACCAAGAGUCGUGAUGAAGUCAUAUUUUCUCCAUGAAUGUUAUUGGUGGGUUGUAUUAUAUUGAAAAUUGUAAAUAAAAUUGUUAAUCAUUGUCAUGUUAGAAAAGAUGUUUAUAGGUGCGAAAUUAAAUCAUGAGAAUCAGAGAUUGAAGAAUCUAGAAUAAUAUGCAUGUGUUAAUUUAUGUAAAAUGAAAUAAAUAAAAGAAUAUGACAAUAAUAAGAUAAUUAUGAAGAGAAUAUGCAGUUGAAAACAUGUUACGUAUUGCAUCUUUCAUCUUUCAUCUUUUGUGAAAGCCGUUGUGUUACUGCUAGGGCUCUCCCCAAAAAAGAGAAAAAAAGGAGCGGAGCGGAGCGGAGCCAACCAAGUGUGUGAGAGAUUUUAGGUGUGGUUCCCACGAAAUAAAAUGUAAUAACUUAAAAUAAUAGAUGAUUGAAUAUGUCGGUUCUAGAUAUUAGAAUCUAUUACUUACACAAUUGAUGGAGACAGGUUGAUGCUACCAACAACUUUAUGCCCAGUUUUUUUUUUUUUUUUAAAUAGGUAUUACAUUAAUAUGGAUAUUUUUUUAACAAAAAAAAACUAAAAUAUGUAAAUAGGAAUUAAAGUUUUAAAAUCUGGAAAUUUUUGGAUUUUUAUAUAAGUAAAUUUUCCAGAUUGCAUUCUUUUUUCCCAAAGAGGUUUGAGCUCCACGACCUCAGAAUCAUUGUUAAUCGUCUUCUUCUUCCUUAUUCGUUUCCUCUUCUCAUGAAUCGAUUCAAAUCUAAAUCGAUGUACAAAAUUGUUUCUCUCUUUGACAGAGAAAAUGUUUGCGAGAUGGACUUGAGGAAACAAAUACCCAAACAGAUAUUGGUGAGUAAAAUUGCCGAAACAUUCCAUUGGAAAAAGAAUGGGUUUAGCUUCCUUUUUAGGUUUGGGUCUGCGAAAAGAAUUAAGACAUGGCAUCUGCAAUGGUAGUGGCAGUGGUAGAAAGCAAUUUCAGCAAGAUCAUUCUAAUCAUGGAAUUCGUAAGCGGAUCUUGCUGCUUUCUCUGGUGAAACCUUUCAGUAUAAUAUCAAUAAAGAGAGCAUAGACAAACAAGGCCACUAGGAUAUAGGAUUUGCAUCAUUGUAAUCCUCUUAUGGGAUGAUGUUCGCAUACCAUGUAGUCAUGGACCAUUUCCACUUGCUUUAUGAUGUCUCUCUUGUUCUGUACCACAAGAAGGCAUACCGGAAUUUUUUAUCAUUCUUUUGGACUAAAAUUAGCCUUAGGUAAAAGUGUAAUCUUGAAUUUGCAGGGAAAGUAAAUUGAGAAUGGAGUAUACCUUAGGUUCUAAGUUAAUUUAGGCUCUAUAUUUAUUUAAUAACUAGAUUAUUAAAGUAACUUGUUACUAGAAAAUAUGAUUUAAAGUACCAAGUUAAAUAUGAGAUAAUAAUAAAAAAAAAAUAGAAAUUAGUAAGUUGAUACUUUGGAAUUUAUAAAAGUAACAAAGACAACAAUAAAUAAAGGAAUAUUUGCGACAAAACCCCCCAUUCUUUUUUAAUUCACGCACCAAUAACCUCAAUCAAAAAUUUUGACGACGAUACCCCGACUGUUACGUAUUUGUUGUAGCCGUCCACUUUUAGACGUUAAGUGCCAGUUUGGAACAACGAUGUCCAUUUGUCGUUGAUUUAUUAGUCCAUGUGGUUGAUGAUGUGACAAUCAAUUGAUGAUGUGUAAUAUUCUAAAUUAAAAACAAGAAAAGAUUUAAAGAAUUAAAAUUUUAAAUUUUAAAUUAAACUUAUUAUUUCAAUAAUCAAAAAAUUAUUUCAAUAUGCCUAUGUUCUCGUCACCAUAAAUCUAGUAACCCAAAAACUUUCCAAAUCUCAAACACAUCAUGGAACCCAUUUUAAUGUUCUUGAUUUACAGAUCUCAAUCCCAUCUUCUUCACCAAAAAUUUAGAUCAAACUCAAGCAACCCAAAUCAGAAACAAACCCAUAAUAUAUAACACAAACCCAAUUCAACAUAAAAUCAAUCUUCGAUUCAAACAACCAACAAACGUGCACCCAAAACUUAAAUCUUUGUUAAGCAUUGAAUCAAAUAUCUUUAGCUCACUCUUUUCAUAAACUUCACUGAAACAAAACACCAAUAUUUUUUAGAUACCAAAAAAGGAAAAAAAAAUCACAAUAUAUAGAAAGAAAAUGAUGAUGAUAACGACUUGGAAGAGUAGUUUGAGUUGUUGUUGUGUGAUGAUGAUGGUGAAGACCAAGAUCUGAGAAGCAGUGGGUAUCUUAGCGACAAGGUAAGGAGAUCUCAGCGGCAGAGGCAACAUAUCUAGUUGGUUUUCAAUGGGUUUUCUGGCUUUUGACACCAGAUCUGGUUGGUUUUUUAUGGGUUUUCUAGUUUUUGACACCAGAUCUGGUUGGCGAUGCAAGCCAAAGGGUUCUUGAUUCUCAAUGUGAGCUCAUUUCCGUUUGCAACCCUCGCCGUAAACUCGUCGCCUUCGUCAAAGUAUAAAAAUGGCCUCUGCGCGACCAUCUGUGAAGAGCAAUAAGGUCACUGGUUUUUGCUACCUGGUGUGCCCCCCACCCCACCGUGGUUGUGCUACUCCGGCCCCUGUCGUCGACUUGCCCAACCUUUCUUCACAAGAUCAAUCUCUGCGGUUCUUCUCUUCACAAGGGAUUUCUCCCACAUGGUUGACACGUGGCAGAAGUGUUGCUCGACUAUCGACCAGAAGCACAUCACUUCGUCAGGCUUAACUUUCAGAUAUGACCAGGCUGGUCGUAUAAUUUGAUUUGUUUCCUUCUAAAUUGUAAUCUUAUAAUAAUUACAUUGAAUAUUUCCUCAUUAUGACCUUGAUAUGCAGUUAUUAAGGAAAGAUAUGGCCCGUUGGCCCAUGUAAUCCUCCUUGAGCCUAUAAAUAUACAUGAAAUGGCUCAAGGAAGGGACUUUUGAUGGCUGAAUCUUUUUGCUAAGAUAAAGAAAGAGAGAGCUAUAGUGCAAUUAUCCAUUGUUUCAUUGUAUUUCUUCCAAGGUUUGUGAAACUCAAGAACCCUAGUUCUUUGAUCACUGCUUUGAGAUUCAAUCUUAAAAAUAGCACUAAGUGGACGUAGGUUAUUACCAUCCCUUGGGGCCGAACUACUACAAUUCCUUGGUGUUUUCUUCUUUUUCAUUGGAUCAUCUUUCUUAAUUGUCGUUUUAUCUUCUGUCGUACUUUUGAC